UGUCCCCAGAGCCCUGGAGGUGUCCCCAGACCUGUGGCGAUGUCUCCAGGUGUCCCCAAAGCCCUGGAAAUGUCCCCAGAUGUCCCCAAGUAUCCCCAAAACCCUGGGAAUGUUUUUGUCCAAGCCCUUCCUCAGUGUCCCCAAAGCCCUGGAGAUGUCCCCAAAACCCUGGGAAUGUUUCUGUCCAAGCCCUUCCUCAGUGUCCCCAAAGCCCUGGAGGUCUCCCCAGACCUGUGGAGAUGUCCCCAGGUGUCCCCAAAGCCCUGGAAAUGUCCCCAAAGCCCUGGAAGUGUCCCCAGACUUGUGGUGAUGUCCCCAGGUGUCCCCAAAACCCUGGGAACGUCUUUGUCCAAGCCCUUCCUCAGUGUCCCCAUUGUCCAAACCCUUUCCCAGAUGUCCCCAGGUGUCCCAAGAUGUCCCCCCACGUGUCUCCAGAUGUCCCCAGAUGUCCCCCCAGGUGUUCCUGAUGUCCCCAGCUAUUCCUGAUGUCCCCAACAUCCCCUGAUGUCCACAGCUGUCCCCAGCUAUGCCCAGAUGUCCCCAAUGUCCCCAGAUAUCCCCCAGGUAUCCCAGCUGUCCCCAAGUGUCCCCUGAUGUUCCUGAUGUCCCCAAGUGUCCCCUGAUGUCCCCAGC